rnacentral:rRNA from 1 species
UACGAAGGGGGCUAGCGUUGCUCGGAAUCACUGGGCGUAAAGGGCGCGUAGGCGGCCAUUUAAGUCAGAGGUGAAAGCCCAAGGCUCAACCUUGGAACUGCCUUUGAUACUGUUUGGCUUGAGACCGGUAGAGGUAAGUGGAACUGCGAGUGUAGAGGUGAAAUUCGUAGAUAUUCGCAAGAACACCAGUGGCGAAGGCGGCUUACUGGACCGGUUCUGACGCUGAGGCGCGAAAGCGUGGGGAGCAAGCAGG